AACAACUCUCAGCAACGGAUAUCUCGGCUCUUGCAUCGAUGAAGAACGCAUCGAAAUGCGAUAAAUGGUGUGAAUUGCAGAAUCCCGUGAACCAUCGAGUGUUUGAACGCAAGUUGCGCCCGAGGCCAUCAGGCCAAGGGCACGCCUGCCUGGGCAUUGCGA
rnacentral:rRNA from 1 species